CAUAGAAGUCCCGGCUGCAUAAACCGUCAGCAAAAACAAAGGCUCAAGAUUUGGGAGAAUAGUUCAUUUGCAUCGAACAGGUGGACGUCUAGGAGUAGGUCCAGUAUCGGCAGGAUGUUUCUCCAGAGACACAGAGCCAACAGGAGAUGCGUAGGAAAAAGGGCCGAUGGCCGACCGGAGACCCAGGGACGAGCAGAUGUGUUAGCUCGAGUGUGAAGACGGUCUGCGGGCAGAAUCCCCUCUUCCUCUGGGACGCGAGCCUUUGAUGUCUGAGAACCUUCACCUGGAGAGCCGUGCUCUGCUCCACAGGCAGGGCCCCACGGACGCCGACGCGUGCCCGGCAUUCUCUGCUCCCUCCACACCAGCCCCGGUGGUGGGCAAUCUUUCACCCUUUCCCUCGCUUCCUAGAGGCACACUGAGUGGGGCCCAUUCCUUCUGAAUCCAUGUCUUGCGGGAAAGGGACCUGUGGGAAUGAAAAUUGCUGGGCCUCGAGUUGCUUCUGGAGUCCCGAGAGGAAGGAAAGGUAAAUGAAGCUUCGCUUGGAACCUCGUAGACUUUGUCACCUCUGUCAAAGCUGUGCUUCCGCACGGGCUUUGGAGUCACAGAAGGGCCACAACACAAGACGUUAGAUCUACCGAGGGCCCCUGAGCAACCUCUCUUGGUCCACGUGCAUCCCUGGUGUAGUGUGCACACGCCGCUGUGCAUUUGGCUUUUGUUUUAUGUCCUUGAAAUAGAGAUAAUAUUGCGUGAUAAAGAAAUGCUUAGAUGAAAGACCCGUAGACCUCCUUCUAUUUUAAGCAAAAUUAGCUUUCUUUUUUUUUUAUAAAAAAGGAAGAAAAAAUAUCGCCCAUCAUGCGUGUGGCCUGAACACAACCCUCAGAACAUCUUAAAGGUUAUCCAUCAAGGUUUUUAAGAAGAACUAUAUUACUCUUAAUUAUUCUUAUCUCGUGAUUAUAUAAUG